rnacentral:rRNA from 1 species
UUACCGGCUUAAAUGUGCCUAGAGUUCUUCGGUAAGGUGCUGCAUGGUUGUCGUCAGCUCGUGCCGUGAGGUGUCAGGUUAAGUCCUAUAACGAGCGCAACCCUGUCUUAGUUGCCAGCAUAUGGGACUCUAAGAGACUGCCGGUGCAAACGAGAGGAAGGUGGGGAUGACGUCAAAUCAUCACGGCCCUUACGCCGGGCUACACACGUGCUACAAUGGUGGACAAGAGGCAGGGUGACCGGAGCAAUCUAAAACAAUCACAGUUCGGAUCGAAGUCUGCAACUCGACUUCGUGAAGCUGGAAUCGCUAGUAAUCGCAAUCAGAUGUGCGGUGAAUACGUUCCCGGGCCUUGUACACACCGCCCGUCAAGCCAUGGAAGCUGGGGACCGAA